rnacentral:lncRNA from 1 species
GCUCUUAGUGAGCCCGAUCCUUCAAUUUGCUAGGCUAAAUUAGAGUGUCUUUAAUACCCCUAGUCAUGUGUACUUGCGUAAGUCCGUAAGAGUAUAGAAGCAACUGCAGAUUUCUAGUGUCAGAGAAAAACAGGGACGGUGAGAUGAUGGAGGAAGCUGAAAUUGCCAAGCGAUGUAGGGUCAAUGUAGAGAGCGUAGGUAUCAAAUAGAAGAUGUUGCUCAGAAGGUCAGAAUCUCCAGCGCGUCGAAUGUCGACCUGGUCGUCGGCUUGUCAGCACCAUUCUAGAUCACUUCAUCAUCUUCCCCAGCACACUCGGCACAAACUUUCAUGGCCUCAUGCCCUCACCUCCUCAUAUGGAGUAGGCGAGAAAUGCCUUGCGGUGCCAUCGCGCACAAUGUGCUGUGGACUCUUAUAAAUGCUUACUUCAUCACUUUCUUCUCAUUCGUUAUCAAUCGAUGUAAACUAAUUGAUCAAAUGGAAUUACAAGUCCAGAGAUUAUUUUUUUUUCAAAAUAA